rnacentral:lncRNA from 1 species
GGCUCUGCCUGGGGAAGCGGCGAGGCCUGGGGCCCUGGUCAGCUGCUCUGACGCCUUGGUGCUCCCGGGGGCAUCUCCAGGCUCACCCCAGCUUCCACGGCCCUGUCUCACGGGUCAAAGGGCCACUCAAAAGCUGCUUUGAAGACGGGGGCCCAGCCAGGAGCCGCACAGGCCUCUCCCGAGGGUCUAGGUGGCUAGAAGGGCACAAGCCACACGGCGUCGCGUCGAGAGACUGAAAUUGUCUAUGAACCGCCCUCGCCGGGUUUGAGACUAGAGAGCUGGUGUUUACACGACGUCGCAAACACCAUAAAGGGCACUAAACUGUUUCUUUAAAAGCCUUCUUUUUUUUUGAGACGGAGUCACUCUGUCGCCCAGGCUGGAGUGCAGUGGUGAGAUCUUGGCUCACUGCAACCUCCGCCUCCUGGGUUCAAGCGAUUCUCCCGCCUGAGCCUCCUGAGUAGCUGGGAUUAUAGGCACGUGCCACCAUGCUCAGGUAAGUUUUGUAUUUGUAGACUUUUUUUUUUUUUUUGAGACAAAGCCUCACUCUGUCACCCAGGCUGGAGUGCAGUGGCACGAUCUCAGCUCACUGCAACCUCUGCCUCCCAGGUUUAAGCAAUUCUGUCUCAGACUCCGGAGUAGCUGGGACUACAGGCGCCUGCCACCACGCCCAGCUAACUUUUGCAUUUUUAGUAGAGACAGGGUUUCACCAUAUUGGUCAGGCUAGUCUCAAACGCCUGACCUCAGGUGAUCCGCCCGCCUUGGCCUCCCAAGGUGCUGGGAUUACAGGCGUGAGCCACCGCGCCUGGCCAAUUUUUGUAUUUUUAAUAGAGACGGGGUUUCCCCAUGUUGGUCAGGCUGGUCUUGAACUCCCCACCUCAAGUGAUCUGCCCACCUUGGGCUCCCAAAGUGCUGGAUUACAGGUGUCAGCCACCGCGCCUGGCCCUGAAGCCUCCUUUCUAACACGAAUAUCAACUUAGAAACGGACGCAGCUAUUGGAAAACAUGUGCAACAGCUAGGGUUUGUGAAGCCACUUUUCCAACUAGAACUUUAGUGGCCUGAAGUGCAGGUUGAAUAUUUCCUGUGAGAAUUAGGAAGUGGACACAAAUGUGCAAAAUACACACUGGGCUCUGAACGCUCAGCGUGAACAAAGAGUGUACAGCAUCUCAACAUGUAUUGCUUAUGAAUCGAAAGGAUAGUAUUUUGGACACAGUGGAUUAAAUAAGAUAAAGAUACAUCUUUGUUUUACGUUUCUUUCUUUCUUUUUUUUUUAGCUGGAGUUUCACUCUUGUCGCCCAGGCUGGAGUACAGUGGUGCUAUCUCGGCUCACUGCAACCUCCACCUCACGGGUUCAAGUGAUUCUACUGUGACGGCCUUCCAAGUAGGUGGGACCACAGGCAUGCGCCACCACGCCCGGCUAAUUUUUGUAUUUUUAGUAGAGACGAGGUUUUGCCAUGUUGGCCAGGCUGGUCUCAAACUCCUGACCUCAGGUGAUCCACCUGCCUCGGCCUCCCACAGUGCUGGGAUUACAGGCGUGAGCCAACGCGCCCGGCCUUGUUUUAUGUUUCAUACGAUUUAUUUUACUUACUACCACCCAUUUCUUUUCUUCUUUCUAUCGUGGCCGCCGGACGUGGGGCUCCCGCUCCGCUUCUGGGGACGCCGCUCUGGCCUCUCUCAGCACCGGGCAGGGGCCAAAUGUGGGUGUUCGCCCUGGGUCGGGGUUCAGGCAGAGCCGCAGCCUCCUGGCUGGGAGGGUUCUCGCCUGCAGGCCGGCGGCCUCUGAGGACGACUCGCUCUCCAUUCGCCACCCAACCCGCGCUGAGUGCUGGACAUCCCGAGCGCGCUCUCCGUCCCUGCAGUUCCUAACGGGUUGGGAGGGUGGUUCUCCCCCGGCCGCAAUCCCGCCCCCAGGAGGCACUAACCCUAACGUGGCAUCUGGGGCCAUCUGUGGUUGUCACGACUGGGAAGGGGGAGAUCCUGGCCUGCACGGUCACCCACAGGCCCGACGGCCCCCGGGAGCCUGUUUCGGGUGCAGCACACCCGGGCUGGAUCGAGCACGGUCGGGGAGGAUGCGGGGCUGGGCCAAGGCCCUCGGCUCUGCAGGGAGGACGGAGAGCGGGUCCGGGGGGUCCGGGGAGGGAACGGGGCCGAGGCUCUGCGUCCACUGCCGGGCCGAUGGGCCAUGGGCUGCGAGGGCGGGUCGGGCGUAGAGGGUCUGGCUGGGAGGGCGGGUCAGAGGUCGGGGCCGCGGGCUGCGAGGGCGGGUCAGAGGUCGGGGCCGCGGGCUGCGACGGCGGGUCGGGAGUCGGGGCUCGGCCUGCGAGGGUGGGUCAAGGGUAGGGGGUCCCGGUCGGGGCCGCGCUCAGCACUCAAAGCGCCGCCAUCCCUGCUGAUGACAUUCUCGACCCGCAGGGCGCAGCUGACCAGCCGCUCCCCCUCCUUUUCCGCGGGUGCAGCUCACUGGCCCUGCCACUGCGCGCGCACCCACCCCGCCCACAGCUCCCGGCAGCUCCCGCGCGGCCCCCGCAGCUGAACCACAACUCCCGCCAUGCCGCGGAGCGCGGGGCGCCGGGGCGUGUGGCCCACAAGGCUUUGCGCGCUGGCGGGGCCGCUCUAGCCCGCGGUCCUCCGAGUUCGUGGCGGGCUGAUGCGGGCUUGGGGCGGGCGGCGCGGACGCCCUGGCGGCUGUCUCGCCCCGUGGUCGGUCUCCUCGCGUUCCCACUGCGGGGCGCCCCGGCUGCCCUUGCGUGGGGCCCGGCACGGGGCGGCCGAGGGGGCGUCCCCGCCGCGAGUCUUCCAGCGCGCUGGUCCCGGGAGGCCUGGCCGUUCGCCCAAGGAGCCUGGUGUCCCCGGGCGGAGACUGGGAAGCCGGGUCCUGUUCCCCGGCGCUGGGCUCGCUGCGGGGGUCGGGGCCGCAGGGCCCGGUCGGGGAUCCAGGUUCCGGGACGCGGAUUCUGGAGUAGGGGCUGCGGGGCUUCCGGCCCGCUUCGCGGGUCAGGGUCACCGGGAGGCCGUGGUUGCGUUGGGGGUACCCGGACGUCAGUCCCAGCAGCGCGAGGGACGAGGGCGCUCGUUAGUUCCACACUGAUUUACUUGUUAUUUUUUUGAGACGGAGUCUCGCUCUGUCGCCCAGGCUGGAGUGCAGUGGCGCCAUCUCGGCUCACCGCAAGCUCC